rnacentral:lncRNA from 1 species
AAAGUAAAAGAAUUUAAGCCCAAGACCAGUAUUCCACCGCUCAGUGCCUAAUUUGACCGCUCAGCGGUUUGCCUCCAAGCCGUAGACCACUCAAUGGUCCAGUCUGCCGCUCAGCGAUUUGCCUACUAAUCGCAGGAUGCUCAGCGCUGCCGCUCAACCGAGAAACAGUGGAAUCACCCACGAGACUGGCGCGCAAUGUUGGAAUUGACGCUGAGUGGUGAACUUGACUCUUCUUUUCUUCCUUUUUUUCCUCUUUUCUUGAGUCUAAGUCCUCC